rnacentral:rRNA from 1 species
CAAGUCGAACGACUAAGUCCGGCAAAGGGAUGAGUAAAGUGGCGUCCGGGUGAGUAACACGUACUAACCUACCUUCGAGUGGGGAAUAACCUCGGGAAUCCGGGGCUAAUACCGCAUAACAUCGUCGGGUGAAAUUCCUGCCGAUCAACGGAGCAAUCCGCUUGAAGAGGGGGUCACGGCUGAUUAGCUAGUUGGUGAGGUAGCGGCUCACCAAGGCGAUGAACAAGUAGCCGGCAUGAGAGGGCGCACGGCCACACUGGAACUGAAACACGGUCCAGACUCCUACGGGAGGCAGCAGUGGGGAAUUUUGCGCAAUGGGGGAAACCCUGACGCAGCAACGCCGCGUGGAGGAUGAAGUCCCUUGGGACGUAACACCAGUCGACCGGGACGAAUAAUGAC